GACGAACGCUGGCGGCGUGCCUAAUACAUGCAAGUUGAGCGCUGAAGGUUGGUACUUGUACCAACUGGAUGAGCAGCGAACGGGUGAGUAACGCGUGGGGAAUCUGCCUUUGAGCGGGGGACAACAUUUGGAAACGAAUGCUAAUACCGCAUAAAAACUUUAAACACAAGUUUUAAGUUUGAAAGAUGCAAUUGCAUCACUCAAAGAUGAUCCCGCGUUGUAUUAGCUAGUUGGUGAGGUAAAGGCUCACCAAGGCGAUGAUACAUAGCCGACCUGAGAGGGUGAUCGGCAACAUUGGGACUGAGACACGGCCCAAACUCCUACGGGAGGCAGCAGUAGGGAAUCUUCGGCAAUGGACGAAAGUCUGACCGAGCAACGCCGCGUGAGUGAAGAAGGUUUUCGGAUCGUAAAACUCUGUUGGUAGAGAAGAACGUUGGUGAGAGUGGAAAGCUCAUCAAGUGACGGUAACUACCCAGAAAGGGGCGGCUAACUACGUG
rnacentral:rRNA from 1 species